rnacentral:rRNA from 1 species
UCUGAGUUCAGACCGGAGUAAUCCAGGUCGGUUUCUAUCUAUAAAACGUCUUUCCUAGUACGAAAGGACCGAAAAGACAUGGCCAAUAUUUUAACAAGCCAUACUUUAUUACUAAUGACAUCAACUUAAUUAGAAAAAANCUUAACAUAAUAAUUUAGACAAAAUU